CUGCGGUGUGGCAGAGCGUCUCCUGGUGAGCACAGAGGGAUUUUGAAAACCACGGGCUCCCUGCUAGUGGAGUCAGGGGUUUUGCAUGCAGGCUGCUGGGUGUGUCUGGGCUGCUUUCUGCAGGAGGAUGGCAAAACCCGCUGCAAACUUCAGCUGUCUGCUGGAACAUACCUGCUGCAGCCACAUCCCAGCGCCUUCCCGACAGGACUGGGUCGUAUCUGACAGCGAACCUACAGUGACUCUCUUAAUUAAGUCUCCCUGCACUGCUGUGAGGCUUUUCUUAUGGAUGGUCAAAAGCGUUGAGUAGUUUCAUUUUGUUUGGAAAGGUGUGACAGAUGUGAGAAGUUUAAGGCUUAUUGACGCUACAGUUGGAAGAAUUUCACUGUCAGAAGGUGUUUAGUCCCAAAUCCACAUCCAGAACUACAGCCCCUUCUCCAUCCGGUUAUGAAAAAGGAAAUCACCACUCCUGUGCCGAGGUAUGAAGUAAGAUUUUGUUCUGAAGAGUUUAUAUGUCUAUACCUGCCAGGUGAGACGUGGAAAAAGACUGACUCUUUGCAGUCAGUUUCCCAUGAACUCCUAAGUCAAAAGAGCAUGGAGGGCAAGAGUGUGCCAGUAUCCCUGUAGCCUUACAGCUGUGAAAGGCUGCACUGAAGCUCUGCCAUUCUCUGCUGCUGGAGUUGCUGAACCUGAGCAGAAGUUCCAGAUGGCUUCCAAAGGAUUCAGCUUCUGAGUAUGUUCCAUCUCCGUUACCCUGCUUUGGGAAACUGCCUUUAAUGGGUCUGUGUUUAAAGCAAACAUCAUCUCCUUGUGCUUGGUCUUCUUUUGGGCUCUAUGUAAUCGUUUGAAACCCAGAUAAAACUCGGCAGGCACACAAGCGAAGCCAGCCCUCCUCCUGCCAUAAAACCACAACUGCCUCUAUUGCCAGUGCUUCCCCUGCUGCCUUCCACUUUAACCCUGCAGCACUGCUCUCCUUGUGUUCUUGCUCUCCCCAGAGCCACACUGCUCUGUGUUUAGUGGCAGGCGAUGAAACCAUGCAUUAGCAGCUCCGUAAUAGCUUUGCUCAGUGGAACCCAGCUUCCUUCACUAAUCCAGAAAAUGAGAGUUGUUUUUGUAUAUCUGAGAAGCUAAUUAUUUAAGUGCUGAGAAUUAAGGCUCAUCAGAUAGUGGAGACUGAUUUUGGUUUUGUUUCCCAGGGGAAGAAGAAGAUGGAAGGAAGCUGCUCUCACACAGGUGUGCAGCAUGGUAGCUCCCCAGUACUUGGGGUGGGGAGCAGCAGUGUGCAGGUCCCUUUCUAGAGCCUCUCUUUGUACGUUUCCUCUCUCUCAGACAUCAUCUGAUGGUUUUCCCCAUUAGAAUAGACUUUGAAAGUAUCUUCUGGUCAAAUAACGUGAUAGCUUUAUUUUUAUGGCCAUAACAAAGAUGGACCCCGUUUGUGGCUGACCCGGCCUGGAUAUUUUGCAAUAAAACCCUCGUCUCAGGGUUUUUAGAGAGGGAAAGUAGCUCACAUCAGUUGUCCUCCUGUGAUCAGUUAUCUUUCAGCCUUACCUUUGAUCACAAAAGCUGAGUGGGAUUUAGAUGCUGCUAUCUAACCUAGGAAUGGACCUUGCAGUGGCUUGGAAAACAGGAGAUGAAUGGGGUGAAAACCCCCCUGUGUCUGUGGGGAAACCACAGAUGAGGGCUGAUAUGAUAAACAAAGGUUUUACAGCACAGUGACUUUUACAAGUGAAUGGGUGCUUGGGGCAUUCUUCCUGGAAGGUGAGAGCUAAUGCCAAUAGCUGUAUGGUACAGAACGGAGACGUGGUUCUGGUGGUUGCACUGGAUGGACCCCUCUUUGUUAAAAGCAGCUUGCCAGGAAUAAAUGUCUUGUUUUUUAAUGAGAUCGCCAAUGCUGUGUUGUCUUCAGAGACUGAGGAAGUGAACUUUUCUGUGUGUUUGGUUGAAGUCAGAUGUUACAGGAUUGUCUGGAUGUAGCUGACUUGACAAAUAGCAGGGGUGACAUUUUAGCUCCAUGUAAGUCAGUGGCAAAAUUCCUGUUGAACUCCACUGGGGCCAAGAUUUCAUCCCAUGAUGGUGCCAAAGGGAAAUCUAAGAAAUGAUCCUCAGAAAAAUAAGUGCAGGCAUUCUGUUUUUGUAAGACUGUUUUUUUUA